rnacentral:rRNA from 1 species
AUUGAACGCUGGCGGCAUGCCUUACACAUGCAAGUCGAACGGCAGCACGGGUGCUUGCACCUGGUGGCGAGCGGCGAACGGGUGAGUAAUACAUCGGAACAUGUCCUGUAGUGGGGGAUAGCCCGGCGAAAGCCGGAUUAAUACCGCAUACGAUCUACGGAUGAAAGCGGGGGACCUUCGGGCCUCGCGCUAUAGGGUUGGCCGAUGGCUGAUUAGCUAGUUGGUGGGGUAAAGGCCUACCAAGGCGACGAUCAGUAGCUGGUCUGAGAGGACGACCAGCCACACUGGGACUGAGACACGGCCCAGACUCCUACGGGAGGCAGCAGUGGGGAAUUUUGGACAAAGGGCGAAAGCCUGAUCCAGCAAUGCCGCGUGUGUGAAGAAGGCCUUCGGGUUGUAAAGCACUUUUGUCCGGAAAGAAAUCCUUGGCCCUAAUACGGUCGGGGGAUGACGGUACCGGAAGAAUAAGCACCGGCUAACUACGUG